rnacentral:tRNA from 1 species
GCCAAGGUGGUGCAGUGGUUAGCAUUCGGGACUGUGGAUCCCGCGACUCGGGUUCAAAUCCCGGCCUUGGCC